rnacentral:rRNA from 1 species
AUACGGAGGAUCCGAGCGUUAUCCGGAUUUAUUGGGUUUAAAGGGUGCGCAGGCGGCCAUUUAAGUCAGCGGUUAAAUCGUGGGGCUCAACCCCAUUCUGCCGUUGAUACUGGGUGGCUUGAUUGCGGUCGAGGUUGGCGGAAUUCGUUGUGUAGCGGUGAUAUGCAUAGAUAUGACGAAGAACACCGAUUGCGUAGGCAGCUGACCAGACCGCAAAUGACGCUCAUGCACGAAAGUGCGGGGAUCGAACAGGAUUAGAUACCCUGGUAGUCCGCACAGUAAACGAUGAAUACUUGUUUUCGGCGAUAUAAUGUCGGAGGCAAAGCGAAAGCGAUAAGUAUUCCACCUGGGGAGUACGCCGGCAACGGUGAAACUCAAAUGAAUUGACGGGG